rnacentral:rRNA from 1 species
GACGGAGGGUGCGAGCGUUGCUCGGACUGAUUGGGCAUAAAGGGUAGGUAGGUGGUUUAGCAGGUCUGAGGUGAAAGCCUUGAGCUUAACUCAAGAAGAGCCUCGGAAACAGCAAGACUAGAGUCCCAGAGAGGGUAGCGGAAUUCCCGGUGGAGCGGUGAAAUGCGUAGAGAUCGGGAGGAAGACCAGAGGCGAAGGCGGCAACCUGGAGGGGAACUGACACUGAACUACGAAGGCGUGGGUAGCAAACAGG